rnacentral:snoRNA from 1 species
AACCUCUCAGGGUCGCACCUGGAGACUUUCCAGUCCUCUACCAGUCUUGACUACAGAAGGGAGAGUCAAGCAAAGGCCUACCUAUUCCAUUCCUAGCUUGACCAGUGGCUAGUGAGUGGAAGGCAACCUGCUACAAGU